CACAGGUUUGGUCCCAGCCUUCCUAUUGACCCUUAAUAGACUUACACAUGCAAGCAUCCACACCCCAGUGAAAAUGCCCUCCAAGUUAACUAAGACUAAGAGGAGCUGGUAUCAAGCACACAUCCGUAGCUCACGACACCUUGCAUAGCCACACCCCCACGGGAGACAGCAGUGAUAAAAAUUAAGCCAUAAACGAAAGUUUGACUAAGCCAUAUUAAUCAGGGUUGGUAAAUUUCGUGCCAGCCGCCGCGGUCAUACGAUUAACCCAAGUUAAUAGGCAUACGGCGUAAAGCGUGUUAAAGCACUAUACCGAAUAAAGUUAAAUUCCAAUUAAGCUGUAAAAAGCCAUAAUUGCAACAAAAAUAAACAACGAAAGUAACUUUACAGCUGCCGAAACACGAUAGCUAGGACCCAAACUGGGAUUAGAUACCCCACUAUGCCUAGCCUUAAACACAAAUAGUUAUGUAAACAAAACUAUUCGCCAGAGUACUACCGGCAAUAGCUUAAAACUCAAAGGACUUGGCGGUGCUUUAUACCCUUCUAGAGGAGCCUGUUCUAUAAUCGAUAAACCCCGAUAAACCUCACCAUUCCUUGCUACUACAGUCUAUAUACCGCCAUCUUCAGCAAACCCUAAAAAGGUACAAAAGUAAGCACAAUCAUAAUACAUAAAAACGUUAGGUCAAGGUGUAACCUAUGGAACGGAAAGAAAUGGGCUACAUUUUCUAAUCUAAGAAAAUCCAACACGAAAGUUAUUAUGAAACUAAUAACCAAAGGAGGAUUUAGCAGUAAACUAAGAAUAGAGUGCUUAGUUGAAUUUAGGCCAUGAAGCACGCACACACCGCCCGUCACCCUCCUCAAGUAGGCACAAUACACUCAAACUUAUUUACACGUAUUAAUCAUAUGAGAGGAGAUAAGUCGUAACAAGGUAAGCAUACUGGAAAGUGUGCUUGGAUAAAU
rnacentral:ncRNA from 1 species